AAUGAACGCUGGCGGCAGGCCUAACACAUGCAAGUCGAACGCCCCGCAAGGGGAGUGGCGCACGGGUGAGUAACGCGUGGGAAUAUGCCCUUCGGUUCGGAAUAACACAGGGAAACUUGUGCUAAUACCGGAUACGAUCUACGGAUGAAAGAUUCAUCGCCGAAGGAGUAGCCCGCGUAGGAUUAGCUAGUUGGUGAGGUAAUGGCUCACCAAGGCGACGAUCCUUAGCUGGUCUGAGAGGAUGAUCAGCCACACUGGGACUGAGACACGGCCCAGACUCCUACGGGAGGCAGCAGUGGGGAAUAUUGGACAAUGGGCGAAAGCCUGAUCCAGCCAUGCCGCGUGAGUGAUGAAGGCCUUAGGGUUGUAAAGCUCUUUCGCCAGGGAAGAUAAUGACGGUACCUGGAAAAGAAGCCUCGGCUAACUCCGUGCCAGCCGCCGCAGUAA
rnacentral:rRNA from 1 species